AAAUUGAAGAGUUUGAUCAUGGCUCAGAUUGAACGCUGGCGGCAGGCCUAACACAUGCAAGUCGAACGGUAACAGGAAGAAGCUUGCUUCUUUGCUGACGAGUGGCGGACGGGUGAGUAAUGUCUGGGAAACUGCCUGAUGGAGGGGGAUAACUACUGGAAACGGUAGCUAAUACCGCAUAACGUCGCAAGACCAAAGAGGGGGACCUUCGGGCCUCUUGCCAUCGGAUGUGCCCAGAUGGGAUUAGCUUGUUGGUGGGGUAACGGCUCACCAAGGCGACGAUCCCUAGCUGGUCUGAGAGGAUGACCAGCCACACUGGAACUGAGACACGGUCCAGACUCCUACGGGAGGCAGCAGUGGGGAAUAUUGCACAAUGGGCGCAAGCCUGAUGCAGCCAUGCCGCGUGUAUGAAGAAGGCCUUCGGGUUGUAAAGUACUUUCAGCGGGGAGGAAGGGAGUAAAGUUAAUACCUUUACUCAUUGACGUUACCCGCAGAAGAAGCACCGGCUAACUCCGUGCCAGCAGCCGCGGUAAUACGGAGGGUGCAAGCGUUAAUCGGAAUUACUGGGCGUAAAGCGCACGCAGGCGGUUUGUUAAGUCAGAUGUGAAAUCCCCGGGCUCAACCUGGGAACUGCAUCUGAUACUGGCAAGCUUGAGUCUCGUAGAGGGGGGUAGAAUUCCAGGUGUAGCGGUGAAAUGCGUAGAGAUCUGGAGGAAUACCGGUGGCGAAGGCGGCCCCCUGGACGAAGACUGACGCUCAGGUGCGAAAGCGUGGGGAGCAAACAGGAUUAGAUACCCUGGUAGUCCACGCCGUAAACGAUGUCGACUUGGAGGUUGUGCCCUUGAGGCGUGGCUUCCGGAGCUAACGCGUUAAGUCGACCGCCUGGGGAGUACGGCCGCAAGGUUAAAACUCAAAUGAAUUGACGGGGGCCCGCACAAGCGGUGGAGCAUGUGGUUUAAUUCGAUGCAACGCGAAGAACCUUACCUGGUCUUGACAUCCACAGAACCUUGUAGAGAUACGAGGGUGCCUUCGGGAACUGUGAGACAGGUGCUGCAUGGCUGUCGUCAGCUCGUGUUGUGAAAUGUUGGGUUAAGUCCCGCAACGAGCGCAACCCUUAUCCUUUGUUGCCAGCGGUCCGGCCGGGAACUCAAAGGAGACUGCCAGUGAUAAACUGGAGGAAGGUGGGGAUGACGUCAAGUCAUCAUGGCCCUUACGACCAGGGCUACACACGUGCUACAAUGGCGCAUACAAAGAGAAGCGACCUCGCGAGAGCAAGCGGACCUCAUAAAGUGCGUCGUAGUCCGGAUUGGAGUCUGCAACUCGACUCCAUGAAGUCGGAAUCGCUAGUAAUCGUGGAUCAGAAUGCCACGGUGAAUACGUUCCCGGGCCUUGUACACACCGCCCGUCACACCAUGGGAGUGGGUUGCAAAAGAAGUAGGUAGCUUAACCUUCGGGAGGGCGCUUACCACUUUGUGAUUCAUGACUGGGGUGAAGUCGUAACAAGGUAACCGUAGGGGAACCUGCGGUUGGAUCACCUCCUUA
rnacentral:rRNA from 1 species